CCUUCUCCUUAGUGGACCGGACCAAUACGUUGCCCCAGUGGAGGUCCCUGAGGAAAGGAGACCAGGUCACUAACACACCCCACCCACUCCUUAGUGGACCGGACCAACACAGUGGAGGUCCCCAGGAGACCAGGUCACUAACACACCCCACCCACUCCUUAGUGGACCGGACCAACACAGUGGAGGUCCCCAGGAGACCAGGUCACUAACACACCCCACCCACUCCUUAGUGGACCGGACCAACACAGUGGAGGUCCCCAGGAGACCAGGUCACUAACACACCCCACCCACUCCUUAGUGGACCGGACCAACACAGUGGAGGUCCCCAGGAGACCAGGUCACUAACACACCCCACCCACUCCUUAGUGGACCGGACCAACACAGUGGAGGUCCCCAGGAGACCAGGUCACUAACACACCCCACCCACUCCUUAGUGGACCGGACCAACACAGUGGAGGUCCCCAGGAGACCAGGUCACUAACACACCCCACCCACUCCUUAGUGGACCGGACCAACACAGUGGAGGUCCCCAGGAGACCAGGUCACUAACACACACAAAGAGACAGACAGACAGACAGUGUUAGGUGUGGUGUGUACCUGUGUUACCAGACAGACAGACAGACAGACAGACAGACAGUGUUAGGUGUGGUGUGUACCUGUGUUACCAGACAGACAGACAGACAGAGUUAGGUGUGUACCUGUGUUACCAGACAGACAGACAGACAGACAGUGUUAGGUGUGGUGUGUACCUGUGUUACCAGACAGACAGACAGACAGACAGACAGACAGAGUUAGGUGUGUACCUGUGUUACCAGACAGACAGACAGACAGACAGGUCAGACAGGACAGACAGACAGAUGAGACAGACGGUCAGACAGACAGACAGACCUGUGUUCGAAGCAGAGCUCCUGUUCAGCCACAGCCAGAGUUAGGUGUGUACCUGUGUUACCAGACAGACAGACCUGUGUUCGAAGCAGAGCUCCUGUUCAGCCACAGCCAGAGUUAGGUGUGUACCUGUGUUACCAGACAGACAGACCUGUGUUCGAAGCAGAGCUCCUGUUCAGCCACAGCCAGAGUUAGGUGUGUACCUGUGUUACCAGACAGACAGACCUGUGUUCGAAGCAGAGCUCCUGUUCAGCCACAGCCAGAGUUAGGUGUGUACCUGUGUUACCAGACAGACAGACCUGUGUUCGAAGCAGAGCUCCUGUUCAGCCACAGCCAGAGUUAGGUGUGUACCUGUGUUACCAGACAGACAGACCUGUGUUCGAAGCAGAGCUCCUGUUCAGCCACAGCCAGAGUUAGGUGUGUACCUGUGUUACCAGACAGACAGACCUGUGUUCGAAGCAGAGCUCCUGUUCAGCCACAGCCAGAGUUAGGUGUGUACCUGUGUUACCAGACAGACAGACCUGUGUUCGAAGCAGAGCUCCUGUUCAGCCACAGCCAGAGUUAGGUGUGUACCUGUGUUACCAGACAGACAGACCUGUGUUCGAAGCAGAGCUCCUGUUCAGCCACAGCCAGAGUUAGGUGUGUACCUGUGUUACCAGACAGACAGACCUGUGUUCGAAGCAGAGCUCCUGUUCAGCCACAGCCAGAGUUAGGUGUGUACCUGUGUUACCAGACAGACAGACCUGUGUUCGAAGCAGAGCUCCUGUUCAGCCACAGCCAGAGUUAGGUGUGUACCUGUGUUACCAGACAGACAGACCUGUGUUCGAAGCAGAGCUCCUGUUCAGCCACAGCCAGAGUUAGGUGUGUACCUGUGUUACCAGACAGACAGACCUGUGUUCGAAGCAGAGCUCCUGUUCAGCCACAGCCAGAGUUAGGUGUGUACCUGUGUUACCAGACAGACAGACCUGUGUUCGAAGCAGAGCUCCUGUUCAGCCACAGCCAGAGUUAGGUGUGUACCUGUGUUACCAGAAAGACAGACCUGUGUUCGAAGCAGAGCUCCUGUUCAGCCACAGCCAGAGUUAGGUGUGUACCUGUGUUACCAGACAGACAGACCUGUGUUCGAAGCAGAGCUCCUGUUCAGCCACAGCCAGAGUUAGGUGUGUACCUGUGUU